AGACAGCAGCAGCCGCGGGAAUACGUAGGUCCCGAGCGUUGUCCGGAUUUAUUGGGCGUAAAGCGAGCGCAGGCGGUUAGAUAAGUCUGAAGUUAAAGGCUGUGGCUUAACCAUAGUACGCUUUGGAAACUGUUUAACUUGAGUGCAGAAGGGGAGAGUGGAAUUCCAUGUGUAGCGGUGAAAUGCGUAGAUAUAUGGAGGAACACCGGUGGCGAAAGCGGCUCUCUGGUCUGUAACUGACGCUGAGGCUCGAAAGCGUGGGGAGCAAACAGGAUUAGAUACCCCAGUAGUCCCUGUCUCUUAUACA
rnacentral:rRNA from 1 species